rnacentral:rRNA from 1 species
CCUACGGGGAGCAGCAGUGGGGAAUAUUGGACAAUGGGCGAAAGCCUGAUCCAGCCAUGCCGCGUGUGUGAAGAAGGCCUUCGGGUUGUAAAGCACUUUCAGUGGGGAAGAAAGCCUUGGGGCUAAUACCCUCGAGGAAGGACAUCACCCACAGAAGAAGCACCGGCUAACUCCGUGCCAGCAGCCGCGGUAAUACGGAGGGUGCGAGCGUUAAUCGGAAUUACUGGGCGUAAAGCGCGCGUAGGCGGUCUGAUAAGCCGGUUGUGAAAGCCCCGGGCUCAACCUGGGAACGGCAUCCGGAACUGUCAGGCUAGAGUGCAGGAGAGGAAGGUAGAAUUCCCGGUGUAGCGGUGAAAUGCGUAGAGAUCGGGAGGAAUACCAGUGGCGAAGGCGGCUUUCUGGACUGACACUGACGCUGAGGUGCGAAAGCGUGGGUAGCAAACAGGAUUAGAUACCCUGGUAGUC